rnacentral:rRNA from 1 species
GACGAACGCUGGCGGCGCGCCUAACACAUGCAAGUCGAACGAGCGAGAGAGAGCUUGCUUUCUUGAGCGAGUGGCGAACGGGUGAGUAACGCGUGAGGAACCUGCCUCAAAGAGGGGGACAACAGUUGGAAACGACUGCUAAUACCGCAUAAGCCCACGACCCGGCAUCGGGUUGAGGGAAAAGGAGCAAUCCGCUUUGAGAUGGCCUCGCGUCCGAUUAGCUAGUUGGUGAGGUAACGGCCCACCAAGGCGACGAUCGGUAGCCGGACUGAGAGGUUGAACGGCCACAUUGGGACUGAGACACGGCCCAGACUCCUACGGGAGGCAGCAGUGGGGAAUAUUGCACAAUGGGGGAAACCCUGAUGCAGCGACGCCGCGUGGAGGAAGAAGGUCUUCGGAUUGUAAACUCCUGUUGUUGAGGAAGAUAAUGACGGUACUCAACAAGGAAGAGACGGCUAACUACGUG